UUUUGUUUUUCCGCCGUUUCAACAAACCACCUUUAUUUGUUAUUUACCAUUAUAAAAGGACGUUGCAUCAACUGAAAUUAUGGCUUUUUAGCUCAUCGUUCGUAGAGUGAAGACGAUCAUGAAAUAUUUCUACGUUUUGAUAGGAAUCUUCCUAUCGCUUCUGAUCCACCAAGCACCCGCACAGAAAACGGUAGUACCAACCAAACUACCAGACACGCCAUGGCCGAAUGAUAUUUGGGGAGAUAUACACCGAGGACAAAGAGAAAGAAAUCCAUAUCCUGGACAACCGCCCCCAUGGGAGAUAAUACGACCUAUUCCAGAACGUACAACUGUUAUUGAUCCACCACCACGGCAACCGCCACCAGAGGAACAGAAGCCGGUGUUUGAACACAAGUUUGGUAAGUAGAGUCUGAAUGGAAAGGAUUGGAAAUAGAUUAAAAUGCCAACAAAGCCUUUAAAUGAAAAAGACGGAAAUAAAAUUGAAAGUCAGCGACUGAGUCAUA